CCUCGAUCAUUGUAUGCCUUUAAUUUACGGAAUCUCAAGUUGCAUUCCAAGGUUCGGAAUCUUCCUAAACCAGAUGAUAAGGGGUUUCCCGAGGAAGACUUGUAUGUUGAUGAUCAGUUGGCAUGCUUGCUUAAAAUCUGAUUUGGAAUAACUUGGACUGUUACUCUGAUGAUCUAACUAUGCUUCGUGUUGUGAAAUUCACCAUAUUCAAAAGUGAGACUGGCAAGUUAUUCGAAACUCGUAUGUUGUCUAAAGGACAUUGUGUUGUUGAUGGUCGUUUUCCUAUCAGCUGCCUCGCAAUGUAAGCAUUUCUCCCUUUGUUUUCAUUUCUUUUGUUUCUUCUAUUUUGUGAAACUUAUUUUUUUAUGUAACACAAUUUCUCUUUGCUGCAAUUUAAGUUUGAUUCUCUGAUAAUUGCAGUCCCCCCUCUCUUAUGAGUUUUACCAAAAUUUUAAUUUUGGAAGAGUCUCGCUACUGCUACCUCGACUAAACCUAUAAAUUAGCUGUUAGAUACCAAAUGUUAGAACAUUGGAGAUUGCACUUAUAAAAAACAUAGAAGCUUUUGAAUUAAACUAUGAUGAAAAGUCAGAUCUUAAUAGUCACUUUGAGUUCAAAUUGCAAACAUGGAUUUUAGUGAGAACAUACGUGAUUGCGUGUGUAUAAAUAUCUAACGAUUUUAUUAUUUAUUUUUGUAUGAUAUGUUUUCAUUGCUUUUAUUGUUUGUUAGCAUACUUUGUGAAAGAAAUCCUUAUGAAGUACGUUUUUCUUCAAUCUCGGUGGAAGUGCGUCAUGUCCAACUAUGUGCAUGGCAUUGUAGGCUUUGAAAUCGAAAAAAGCUUUAGAUCCUUAUUUUUAUUUUCAUUGCCCUUUAUUAGCAUGCUCAUUGAGCUCCAAGUCUUUUGGGGUUCUGUAGUGCUGUUAGAUGGUAUGAGUGAGAGUUUGAAGAUUCAGUGACAUACUAUGAGGAGCAAUCAUACAUUAUACUUUUUUAUAUUUUGUGGAAAAUCAUACGGUAGGUAUUUGUUCCAAGGUAAGCAAGUUGACAAAUCUGAUGUAGCAAAGAACCAAAGACGAAAUGAAAAACUCACAAGAAAAUUGGUGAAUCCAUCAUAGCAUUUAUUGUAUAUCCUAAAUUUCCUUUACCUUAGUAUACUGAGAAUACACAAGGAAUUGGUGAGAAUAAAGAACUUAUAUGUAGUGAUGCAGUAGCAUUUAUAGCAAUCCUUAAGCUCCUUCAGCGGAUUAUACUGAGAAUACCCACGAAAUUGGUGAGCAUAGUAGAAGUUUGCAAUGGACUAAGUUGUUAGAUUAUUAUUAGGAGUUUUUUCCCUUAUUAAUUAGGUAACUUGAUUUAUAGUAGAAUUAUGGUUUCGUCUAGUCGAUAUAAACUAAUGUAAUUUCAUGCUUUUCUAGAGUUGACUGUAUUACUCCCUCAGCCUUAGAAGCAUGUGUGUAAGUGCAAGUUUUUUCCCCCUCCAAAUGAUGGCUUUUUAAUACACAAGUCAAAUUAAAAUGUACUUUAAAUCUAGAAAAAGGAGAGGAGAAAACUCUGAACAAAACAGUGUAUUCAUGUAUCAAGAACCGUAAUGCAGUGAUUCAUCUUUUGACAUAGAAAGAUGAAUGAUCUCAAGCCUAGAUUCGUAUUUUAGACGUUUAAAUUAUAGUAGUAGAUUUUUAGUUAGGAGAAUUUUUUUUUUAAAUUAGGAUUUUUAUUAUAGUAAUAAAUUUUAAUUAGGAGAUUGAUUUUAAUUGGCAAAACUAAUGAUUAUCCCACUAUAGUGGACACUUUUUACUUAAUACAUCAUUGAACUUUUAAUUUUUGCAAUUACCACAUUAAACUAACUAAAAAAGUAAAAUCGAACCAUUUCGUUAAAUUGUCCAAACCUGUCAAACUAUUUCAAGUUUUUUUCCUACAUGGCUGAUAAAAAAAUAGAAAUAGAAAAAGAAAAUAAAAUAAUGACCUGUUCUGCGCCUACAUAGUAUUUUUUUUUUGGUGAAGCACCUACGUAGAGAGCUUCGAAUGUCAUGAAUUAACAACAUUAGAGAACUCGCCACCAGAGAUGGCGAAACCCAACCAGUAGCAUUAGAGAACUUGUCGCGGGCGAUGGCAAACCCCCCUGAACGUUCCCAUCCGACUCAUCAUUUUUUUUAUCGCCGAUCAUCUCUUAGUAACGAAGAAUGCGACGUUAGGAUUUAGGGUUUCUAAAUCCACCAAUUGUUUCUUCAACAAUCUGUCGGUGCCCCCCCCUACCCAAUCCAACCGCCACAGACGACUGCGGUUCAAGGAAUUGGGAUAGAAACUAGUGUUUACUACCGCCGGAGGUGAAGUUUAUUGGGGCCGAUGAGGAUUUUUUACGUGAAGAUGAAGAAUCUUGAUUUGCUGUUCAACAACAAGAUUAUAGUUCAUGGACUUGCAGGGCAGUUUAGACAUUCUAUUUUUUUCACCAGCCACGUAUGAAAUUUCUAGAGCAAAUGUAAUGAGCGUUUAAUUAUUUUAAUAGAAUCGUCUAAUUUCAAUUUCUAAUUAAUUCAAUGUGGUAAUUGCAUUUUUUUUAAAAUUUAGUGUUGUAAUAAGUAAAAUAUGCCAACUGCUGUGGGGAAAUCAUUAGUUUUGCCGAUUUUAAUUAUAAAUUAGAAUUUAAUUAGGAGAUUGAUUUUAGUUAUAAAUAGUUUGAUACUCCGUGCGAGGCACGUGCUAGUUUAUAUCGUUCUUUUCAUAAAUAUUUGAUAAUUUUUUAUUGAUAUGUAUUUAUCAUUUUUUAUUGACAUAAUACAUAUAUAAUGUUGAAGAUAAUUUGAAUCAGCAUAUAACUUUUAGUAUUUCAAGAAGAAAUGUAACGCCCCCAAAUCCAGGUCUGCCCGGAUUCGUCCUUCAAAUAACCUGACUGAUAAUUCAAUUCUCGUGAACAGAUGACCAACUUUCUUUUUCUUCCAUUUUCUUCCAGAAUGAACGGGCAGUGUCUUGACAUUUUUUUUCAAAUACCCCAUCCAUGCUUAUAUGUGAAUCUUUUAUCAGUAUCUCGUUGACUAUUUUCUAUCUCAAUAAAUCUUUCCUGCAAUUGGCCCACGUCAUUAUCCAUGAAGACCAAAAAUAUUAAUUUAGCAUUUAUUCAUUUUUAAUUAUUUUAUUCUUAGUUAAUAAUUACCUGAAUUCUUCAUUUCUGCAAUUGACUAUUUUCGUGAUCUACCUUGUCAAAUUAUAUAUAUAUAUAUAUAUAUAUAUAUAUAUACAUAUAUAUAUAUAUUGGGUUUUACCACUUUUAUCUACUGUUCAUGACGGAUUACUAUUCAUGCCGGAGUACUAUUCAUGACAGAAGUUAAUUUUUCUUGUCCAAAUUUGCCCAAAUCAUUAAUAUUAAUCAUAUUGAUUUUAACAUUAAACAUUUAUUUAUUUAACUUUUCUCCCUUAUUUUGUAAUUUCAAAUGCUCAAAUUAGGAUUCCUAGUUCUUAUAUUCUAGGAUUUUCUUUCCCGUUUUCGCUAAAAGUUUAUGUUCUUAUGCAUGAUUUUUGCUGCAUUAACACAUCAUAUAUUAUUUUACUAUGUUGUGAGGAAUGUAUCAACAUCAUAUAAAAUAUAUAAAAAAGAAUACUUAAAACAUACCUUCUAAUUUUGUUUUUCUACGUUUUUCCCAUUUUUUCUUGUUCUGCUAAUGUUCAGCUGUGGCCUCCUCUUCAUUUUUCUUUCUCACGCCUCUUCUCCCACUCUUAUUUCUGACUUCCCUCUUUUUCCUUCUUUUAGGAAUAUAUAUAUAUAUAUAUAUAUAUAUAUAUAUAUAUAUAUAUAUAUAUAUCUUUACUAGGAGAAUAAGUAGGGAGAAGGGUACGUGUAUAUCUAUAUAUAUAUAUAAUUUAUAUAUAAAUCACUUACCUAGCAUUCAUUUAAUAAGUAGGGAAUGCAGGUGACUCUAUGUAACUCCGUUAGAAGAAGAAUAGGUAGAUGAUACCUAUUUCCCAUGUGAACCUUCAACUAAAAU
rnacentral:lncRNA from 1 species